CUAGAGAACAACUUCUUCGUGAGAAGAAAGAGAAGAGCUCUGGGAAUCAAGAAAGAACCAGUAGGAAAGCUAAAAAUCACAGAGAACAGAAGACAACCAGAGAAAGGAAUGAAGCAGUGUGGAAAGCUAACUCUGACUCCAGGGUAGAGGGGAUCUCACCCCCAAACACAAGAUACCUUGAAGUCUGCCUUGAAGAGGGAAGAAACAAAGACAAGAGCUUGGUGGAUAGAAUACAUGGGUUUCGCUCCGAUGUUGUUCUGCUUGCUCCAUCUGGGACUCAGAUGCAUUCUCCUUUACCACUGAAUUCCUCAACUUGGACCACACCACAUCUGCUACCUGGAAAGUCUGACAAACAGCCUGGAAUAUCUGCCUACGAGCAAAUAUUUAUACUGUUGGAGUUACAUGUAUCAUUUAGCCUAUCUUACCUCAGAGUGUUUUUGCUUUACACUGAGUCAGAUACAGAACUCAAAACUUCUUAGUUUUGUGAAUGUUGAAUAGUAAAUUUUUUGUUUUGGUCAGCCUAUCCUGUCUUCAGAGGUGCUGAUUUCAUC
ensembl:lncRNA